CAUUUCAUUACGGGAGGUACCGUAACAGUCAGUAUGUCUGUGUGUGUAUGCCAGUAUGUCUGUGUGUAUGCCAGUAUGUCUGUGUGUGUGUGUGUGUGUGUCAGUAUGUCUGUGUGUAUGCCAGUAUGUCUGUGUGUAUGCCAGUAUGUCAGUGUGUGUGUGUGUGUGUGUGUGUGUCAGUAUGUUUGUGUGUAUACCAGUAUGUCGGUGUGUGUAUGCCAGUAUGUCUGUGUGUGUAUGUGUGUGUGUCAGUAUGCCUGUGUGUAUGCCAGUAUGUCUGUGUGUGUAUGUCAGUGUGUGUGUGUCAGUAUGUCUGUGUGUAUGCCAGUAUGUCUGUGUGUGUGUAUGUAGGUAUGUCUCUGUGUGUGUGUGUGUGUGU